rnacentral:rRNA from 1 species
CAAUAGCGUAUAUUAAAGUUGUUGCAGUUAAAAAGCUCGUAGUUGAAUUUCUGGUGGGCGCGCCGGUCUUCCAAGUGUUGUACUGGGCGCAGUCCGCCAUCCUUGUGGAGAGGGCUCGCAUUGAGUUGCGUGUCGGAUCUGCAUCAUUUACUGUGAAAAAAUUAGAGUGUUUAAAGCAGGCUGUCGCUUGAAUACAUUAGCAUGGAAUAAUAAGAUAGGACUUCGGUCUAUUUUGUUGGUUGCGAACCGAGGUAAUGAUUAAUAGGGAUAGUUGGGGGUAUUCAUAUUUAAUUGUCAGAGGUGAAAUUCUUGGAUUUAUGAAAGAUGAACAACUGCGAANGNAUUUACNAAGGAUGUUUNCAUUA